AUUGAACGCUGGCGGCAUGCUUUACACAUGCAAGUCGAACGGCAGCGCGGGGCAACCUGGCGGCGAGUGGCGAACGGGUGAGUAAUAUAUCGGAACGUACCCAAGAGUGGGGGAUAACGUAGCGAAAGUUACGCUAAUACCGCAUACGAUCUAAGGAUGAAAGUGGGGGAUCGCAAGACCUCAUGCUCCUGGAGCGGCCGAUAUCUGAUUAGCUAGUUGGUGAGGUAAAGGCUCACCAAGGCGACGAUCAGUAGCUGGUCUGAGAGGACGACCAGCCACACUGGAACUGAGACACGGUCCAGACUCCUACGGGAGGCAGCAGUGGGGAAUUUUGGACAAUGGGCGCAAGCCUGAUCCAGCAAUGCCGCGUGAGUGAAGAAGGCCUUCGGGUUGUAAAGCUCUUUUGUCAGGGAAGAAACGGUAGGAGCUAAUAUCUCUUGCUAAUGACGGUACCUGAAGAAUAAGCACCGGCUAACUACGUGCCAGCAGCCGCGGUAAUACGUAGGGUGCAAGCGUUAAUCGGAAUUACUGGGCGUAAAGCGUGCGCAGGCGGUUUUGUAAGUCUGUCGUGAAAGCCCCGGGCUCAACCUGGGAAUUGCGAUGGAGACUGCAAGGCUUGAAUCUGGCAGAGGGGGGUAGAAUUCCACGUGUAGCAGUGAAAUGCGUAGAGAUGUGGAGGAACACCGAUGGCGAAGGCAGCCCCCUGGGUCAAGAUUGACGCUCAUGCACGAAAGCGUGGGGAGCAAACAGGAUUAGAUACCCUGGUAGUCCACGCCCUAAACGAUGUCUACUAGUUGUCGGGUUUUAAUUAACUUGGUAACGCAGCUAACGCGUGAAGUAGACCGCCUGGGGAGUACGGUCGCAAGAUUAAAACUCAAAGGAAUUGACGGGGACCCGCACAAGCGGUGGAUGAUGUGGAUUAAUUCGAUGCAACGCGAAAAACCUUACCUACCCUUGACAUGUCAGGAAGUCUGGAGAGAUCUGGAUGUGCCCGAAAGGGAACCUGAACACAGGUGCUGCAUGGCUGUCGUCAGCUCGUGUCGUGAGAUGUUGGGUUAAGUCCCGCAACGAGCGCAACCCUUGUCAUUAGUUGCUACGCAAGAGCACUCUAAUGAGACUGCCGGUGACAAACCGGAGGAAGGUGGGGAUGACGUCAAGUCCUCAUGGCCCUUAUGGGUAGGGCUUCACACGUCAUACAAUGGUACAUACAGAGGGCCGCCAACCCGCGAGGGGGAGCUAAUCCCAGAAAGUGUAUCGUAGUCCGGAUCGCAGUCUGCAACUCGACUGCGUGAAGUUGGAAUCGCUAGUAAUCGCGGAUCAGCAUGCCGCGGUGAAUACGUUCCCGGGUCU
rnacentral:rRNA from 1 species